GACGGAGGGUGCUAGCGUUGUUCGGAAUCACUGGGCGUAAAGGGCGCGUAGGCGGCCUCAGGUGUCGGAUGUGAAAGCCCGGGGCUCAACCCCGGAGGUGCAUCCGAAACUCUGGGGCUGGAGGUCGGAAGAGGAGGGUGGAAUACCCAGUGUAGAGGUGAAAUUCGUAGAUAUUGGGUGGAACACCGGUGGCGAAAGCGGCUCCCUGGUCCGGACCUGACGCUGAGGCGCGAAAGCGUGGGGAGCAAACAGG
rnacentral:rRNA from 1 species